rnacentral:lncRNA from 1 species
UUUCAGUUGGGAGGCUCCUUGGCUCUUCGGAGAGUAUCUUGCUCCAGAGGCCAGAAUUUAAAUUUGAGCUGUUCUCCACAGCCCGGAGUGAGGGGCGGGGCCUGGUCCUGCUGUGCUGGAGCGAGGACUUUUGUGUCAUGGCACUCCCAAGGGAAACUGAGAGCCUCAGACCACUCAGAAGAGGUGGUGCAGAGAGAGAAUGCUGGUCACGCCGCACCAUCCUAAUGUACACCAUCAGCGUUGAGAGGGACUAUUGGGCAAGCCUCCUAAUUAGUCCCCCUGUUUCGAUUCUCAGUCUCCUCUGGACCUUUCUCCACAUGGUAGCGGCAAUGGUCUCUUAAAGAUAUAAAUCAGACCUGGAAUACGACUCAGCAAUAAAAAAGAAUGGACUAUGGAUGCAACAACUUGCAAGAAUCUCAAGGGAAUUAAGCUGAAUGAAAAAAGCCAAUCCCCAAAGGUUGCAUACUGUAUGAUUCAUUUACAUAAAAC